GUGCCCACUUUGGCAGUACAUAUACCAAAAAUUGGAACGAUGCAGAGAUUGGCACGGCCCCUGCGCAGGGAUGACACGAAAAUUGGUGAAGCGACCCAUAUUUAA
ensembl:snRNA U6 U6 spliceosomal RNA